rfam:Ictidomys tridecemlineatus contig042729, whole genome shotgun sequence.
AGAGUUGUGGCUCAGUGGUAGAGCACUCGUCUAGCAUGUGUGAGGCACUGGGUUUGAUUCUCAGCACCACAU